AGAACGAACGCUGGCGGCAUGCCUAACACAUGCAAGUCGAACGAGACCUUCGGGUCUAGUGGCGCACGGGUGCGUAACGCGUGGGAAUCUGCCCUUGGGUUCGGGAUAACAGUUGGAAACGACUGCUAGUACCGGAUGAUGUCUUCGGACCAAAGAUUUAUCGCCCAGGGAUGAGCCCGCGUAGGAUUAGCUUGUUGGUGAGGUAAGAGCUCACCAAGGCGACGAUCCUUAGCUGGUCUGAGAGGAUGAUCAGCCACACGUGGGACUGAGACACGGCCCAGACCUCCGUACGGGAGCAGCGAGGUAGGGAAUAGUUAGGAACAAGUGGGACGAAAGCCUAGAC
rnacentral:rRNA from 1 species